rnacentral:lncRNA from 1 species
UGGCCCGGCAAUGGCGAACGACGAGUACGACGCACUCCAUGCCGCUGCCAAGGCGAGAGGCGGAACCGUAGGGUGUCCCUGUGCUUUACCUUCGUACGGCUUCUGCCGCGGCGGGGGUUUCAGUGACUUCCGAGGUGUGCGGCUGACUUGCUACCAACACAUCCUUGGCUACGGCUCCUCCACCGCCGGCAUUGAUCCCCCACGACGCCUCAUCCUCGACAGGUGGGAGACCUCCUCGUCGUCCUGCGCUGACCGAGUGGUGGAGAGCCACAGCGCCAACAACUCCCCGUCGAGGCAGUACAUGGCGGUGAACGAUGAUGAUGUGCUCCAAAUUGACGCCAUCACCAAUAGGGGUGGGCGAACCCUAGAC